GAUGAACGCUGGCGGCGUGCCUAAUACAUGCAAGUCGAGCGAACAGACGAGGAGCUUGCUCCUCUGACGUUAGCGGCGGACGGGUGAGUAACACGUGGAUAACCUACCUAUAAGACUGGGAUAACUUCGGGAAACCGGAGCUAAUACCGGAUAAUAUAUUUAACCGCAUGGUUCAAUAGUGAAAGACGGUUUUGCUGUCACUUAUAGAUGGAUCCGCGCCGCAUUAGCUAGUUGGUAAGGUAACGGCUUACCAAGGCAACGAUGCGUAGCCGACCUGAGAGGGUGAUCGGCCACACUGGAACUGAGACACGGUCCAGACUCCUACGGGAGGCAGCAGUAGGGAAUCUUCCGCAAUGGGCGAAAGCCUGACGGAGAAACGACGCGUGAGUGAUGAAGGUCUUCGGAUCGUAAAACUCUGUUAUUAGGGAAGAACAAAUGUGUAAGUAACUAUGCACGUCUUGACGGUACCUAAUCAGAAAGCCACGGCUAACUACGUG
rnacentral:rRNA from 1 species